AACGCACAUUGCGCCUUCCGGCAUUCCGGGAGGCAUGCCUGUUCGAGCGUCAUUAAAACCAACUCAAGCGUAUCAGUUUGGUCUUGACGAACGAGCUCUGCCUUUGGGCCUGGAGCUCCUUGUCGAAAUCCAGAGGCGGAAAGCAAGCGUGCCCGAGCGUAGUAAGAACAUUAUUGACCUUCGCGAGGUGGCGUUCCUGUUUUCCUGCCGGAAAACCCCCAUGACUUCAAGGUUUGACCUCGGAUCAGGUAGGGAUACCCGCUGAACUUAA
rnacentral:misc_RNA from 1 species